rnacentral:rRNA from 1 species
AAUGGGUUGUUUAAAAAUAAAGAUUACCUCUUACCAUUCCGAACAGAGAAGUUAAACUUAUUUUUACUGAUGGUACUAAUUUAAAAAAUUGGGAGAGUAAGUUCAGCCCAUUU